rnacentral:rRNA from 1 species
UUAGGCGAACGGGUGAGUAACGCGUGAAUAACCUGACUCAAAGAGGGGGGAGUAACAACGGGAAACUGUUGCUAAUACCGCAUGAGACCACAACACCGCAUGAUGAAGGGGUCAAAGAUUUAUCGCUUUGAGAGGGGUUCGCGUCCCAUUAGGUAGUUGGAGGGGUAACGGCCCACCAAGCCAACGAUGGGUAGCCGAGCUGAGAGGCUGAUCGGCCACACUGGAACUGAGACACGGUCCAG